GUCAUACUCCCUCCGUUCCAAAAUUCUUGUCUUAUAUUUGUGUGGAAAUGGAUGUAUCUAAAUACUAAAACGUGCCUAGAUACAUUCAUAUCUAGACAAAUCUAAGACAUGAAUUUCGAAACGGAGGGAGUAUUUA
rfam:Hordeum vulgare subsp. vulgare, WGS project CAJW01000000 data, contig: morex_contig_1563559